AGGCUGUGUUCUCAGCGCACAUUUUGUCUUGAAGAACAUACUCCCAAGAUCCAGUGAGGAGUCCAUGUACAGAAGUUUGAUGCAACUGAGCAACAUUGAUGUUCCAGAUCUGAAGUCUUUGGAGGAUCGCCUGCUGUGUAUGGAGGUUUCAGGGACGAACAGGCGCCUCGUCUCCUCGGUCAUGG